CGGGGUAUAGUAUAGUGGUAGUACGCAAGGCUGGGGGUCUUGUAGUAGCGGUUCGAUUCCGCUUACCCCGA
rnacentral:tRNA from 1 species